UGGUUCUGGCAUCGAUGAAGAACGCAGCGAAAUGCGAUAAGUAAUGUGAAUUGCAGAAUUCAGUGAAUCAUCGAAUCUUUGAACGCACAUUGCGCCCAUUAGUAUUCUAUUGGGCAUGCCUGUUCGAGCGUCAUUUCAACCCUCAAGCCCGGCUUGGUGUUGGGAAUCUACUUUUCGGGGGGUGUUACCCUGUAGCGCCGACCGUACCUACCCUGUAGCGUGCGGGAGGGGCUACCCUGUAGCGCCCACCCUGUAGUUCCUCAAAGUCAACGGCGGAUCUGUGGUGUCCUCUGAGCGUAGUAACUAUCUCGCUUCUGCCAGGCGCCGCAGCCCCUGCCGCUAACCCAAUUUCUCAUGGUUGACCUCGGAUCAGGUAGGAAUACCCGCUGA
rnacentral:misc_RNA from 1 species